rnacentral:rRNA from 1 species
CAAAAACAGGUUAAUAUUCCUGUACUUCUGGUUAUUGCGAUGGAGGGACGGAGAAGGCUAGGCCAGCUUGGCGUUGGUUGUCCAAGUUUAAGGUGGUAGGCUGGAAUCUUAGGUAAAUCCGGGAUUCUAAGGCCGAGAGCUGAUGACGAGUGUUCUUUUAGAACACGAAGUGGUUGAUGCCAUGCUUCCAAGAAAAGCUUCUAAGCUUCAGGUAACCAGGAACCGUACCCCAAACCGACACAGGUGGUUGGGUAGAGAAUACCAAGGCGCUUGAGAGAACUCGGGUGAAGGAACUAGGCAAAAUGGCACCGUAACUUCGGGAGAAGGUGCGCCGGUGAGGGUGAAGCAUUUACUGCGUAAGCCCAUGCCGGUCGAAGAUACCAGGCCGCUGCGACUGUUUAUUAAAAACACAGCACUCUGCAAACACGAAAGUGGACGUAUAGGGUGUGACGCCUGCCCGGUGCCGGAAGGUUAAUUGAUGGGGUUAGCUAACGCGAAGCUCUUGAUCGAAGCCCCGGUAAACGGCGGCCGUAACGAUAACGGUCCUAAGGUAGCGAAAUUCCUUGUCGGGUAAGUUCCGACCUGCACGAAUGGCGUAACGAUGGCGGCGCUGUCUCCACCCGAGACUCAGUGAAAUUGAAAUCGCUGUGAAGAUGCAGUGUAUCCGCGGCUAGACGGAAAGACCCCGUGAACCUUUACUAUAGCUUUGCACUGGACUUUGAAUUUGCUUGUGUAGGAUAGGUGGGAGGCUUUGAAGCGUGGACGCCAGUUCGCGUGGAGCCAACCUUGAAAUACCACCCUGGCAACUUUGAGGUUCUAACUCAGGUCCGUUAUCCGGAUCGAGGACAGUGUAUGGUGGGUAGUUUGACUGGGGCGGUCUCCUCCUAAAGAGUAACGGAGGAGUACGAAGGUGCGCUCAGACCGUUCGGAAAUCGGUCGUAGAGUAUAAAGGCAAAAGCGCGCUUGACUGCGAGACAGACACGUCGAGCAGGUACGAAAGUAGGUCUUAGUGAUCCGGUGGUUCUGUAUGGAAGGGCCAUCGCUCAACGGAUAAAAGGUACUCCGGGGAUAACAGGCUGAUACCGCCCAAGAGUUCAUAUCGACGGCGGUGUUUGGCACCUCGAUGUCGGCUCAUCACAUCCUGGGGCUGAAGCCGGUCCCAAGGGUAUGGCUGUUCGCCAUUUAAAGUGGUACGCGAGCUGGGUUUAGAACGUCGUGAGACAGUUCGGUCCCUAUCUGCCGUGGACGUUUGAGAUUUGAGAGGGGCUGCUCCUAGUACGAGAGGACCGGAGUGGACGAACCUCUGGUGUUCCGGUUGUCACGCCAGUGGCAUUGCCGGGUAGCUAUGUUCGGAAUAGAUAACCGCUGAAAGCAUCUAAGCGGGAAACUAGCCUCAAGAUGAGAUCUCACUGGGACCUUGAGUCCCCUGAAGGGCCGUCGAAGACUACGACGUUGAUAGGUUGGGUGUGUAAGCGCUGUGAGGCGUUGAGCUAACCAAUACUAAUUGCCCGUGAGGCUUGACCAG